UGCUGUUUCAAGGCUUUUAAUCAAAGUUUGAAUAAUACUCGAUGAAACGUUGUUGAAGUACAUGAAAAGGAAUCAGGUGGACCCUCAAAGAAGAAAUGUGUCUACAGCUUAUACAAGACAUGUGACUGCGAUGUGGCCACAUGUGAGGACAUCAUUUCUGGAAAUAGAUCAGAACUCAACACUACAGACUUCAUGUUGAAUCAGCAGCAGAAGAACAAUACCAUCAUCUCUCUGUUAGGUGCUGCUUUGGCUAUAUGUGUGAUUGUUAAUGCCUUUCUCAUUUAUGCAAUCAAGAAACUGAAGGGGAAAUCCUGUGGUGUUUGCAACACUGCUGUUACUCUGCAUACAAAUGAAACAACAGCGGGUCAAAAUCAGCGAGGUCAGCAGACAGAUGAUGACUCGUUGAUUUAUUCUGCACCAACCUUCAUCAGAAGGAAAUCUAGCAAAGGGACUGGGGGUGCAAAAGCAAUGAAAGAAGAGUGUAUCUACACUGAUGCCCGGGCUCUUAGGUUGGCUUGAUGGUGUAAUACUGGAUUUGCUAAUCUUUGCAGAUGCAAUAUUUAUUUUCAUUCUGUUCAAGAAAGGUACUAGCCCCUAAUGUCAUUAAUCCAAUUAAUAUAUUGGAUUGUACUGUGUGUAUAUGUUUUGCACACAUGAGUAAUCUUCAUGACACAAAAGUAAUAUAAAAGCUACUGUAAGCUUGUGUAGAUAGACAUACUGUAUACUGUAGGGAUACAUAUUUGUUUCAUUGUGAGUUAUCAAAGUUGUGAACAACAACUUGCAUCAUACAGUUUCAAGUCAUACAUUUACAUUUUCCAAAUCUGUGUACUGUCUGUGUCAAUGCUAUGUAAAGAUAAUUGUGUGUUGCUUUUUUCCUAAUAAAUAAUUGAAUUUUCACAAGAGAUACCAAACUGAUAAGCAAUUGAACCUGCUGCUCUGCUCACACAUACAGAUACAGCUCAGAUUUAUGAACAUACUGCACAUGUUUAACCACCCCCCACCCCCCCUUAGUUAUUACCUAAACAAGCUCGGCAUUAUACUUUUGCUCACAUAGGUCAACCAAACUCAGGUCAAAGUUCAUUAAAUGUGUACAUAUCUUUUUAACAUCAUAUAGCCUACAUCCAUUGAACACACAAAAUACCCAAUAAUCCAGAAGGCUUGCAUAAAAACUGUUUUUCCAUAGUGAUGUCAAUAUGGGUUAAGACUAAAAAGUAAAUUAUAUAUAUUUAUAUACCUAUUUACUGCUUUACAAAUUGUAUGCAGUAAUUCUUUUUCAGAUACGCUGGUUCCAGUGACCACAGUUGAACUUGGUAAUCUGCGACCGUCACCUGUGCUACGCUUAAUUUUGAGAGUCAGCGUAA